rnacentral:rRNA from 1 species
GAUGAACGCUGGCGGCGUGCCUAAUACAUGCAAGUCGAGCGAACAGACGAGGAGCUUGCUUCUCUGACGUUAGCGGCGGACGGGUGAGUAACACGUGGAUAACCUACCUAUAAGACUGGGAUAACUUCGGGAAACCGGAGCUAAUACCGGAUAAUAUAUUGAACCGCAUGGUUCAAAAGUAAAAGACGGUUUUGCUGUCACUUAUAGAUGGAUCCGCGCCGCAUUAGCUAGUUGGUAAGGUAACGGCUUACCAAGGCAACGAUGCAUAGCCGACCUGAGAGGGUGAUCGGCCACACUGGAACUGAGACACGGUCCAGACUCCUACGGGAGGCAGCAGUAGGGAAUCUUCCGCAAUGGGCGAAAGCCUGACGGAGCAACGCCGCGUGAGUGAUGAAGGUCUUCGGAUCGUAAAACUCUGUUAUUAGGGAAGAACAAAUGUGUAAGUAACUGUGCACGUCUUGACGGUACCUAAUCAGAAAGCCACGGCUAACUACGUG